AUUGAACGCUGGCGGCAUGCUUUACACAUGCAAGUCGAACGGUAACAGGCCUUCGGGUGCUGACGAGUGGCGCACGGGUGAGUAAUGCAUCGGAACGUACCCAGAGGUGGGGGAUAACGCAGCGAAAGCUGUGCUAAUACCGCAUGUGAUCUGAGGAUGAAAGCGGGGGACCGAGCAGCAAUGUUUGGCCUCGCGCCUUUGGAGCGGCCGAUGUCGGAUUAGCUAGUUGGUGGGGUAAAGGCCUACCAAGGCGACGAUCCGUAGCUGGUCUGAGAGGACGACCAGCCACACUGGGACUGAGACACGGCCCAGACUCCUACGGGAGGCAGCAGUGGGGAAUUUUGGACAAUGGGCGCAAGCCUGAUCCAGCAAUGCCGCGUGAGGGAAGAAGGCCUUCGGGUUGUAAACCGCUUUUGGCAGGAACGAAACGGUGUCCGCUAAUACCGGGCGCUAAUGACGGUACCUGCAGAAUAAGCACCGGCUAACUACGUG
rnacentral:rRNA from 1 species